AUGUCUCAGAUCUGUUUAGAUCGGUGACUCUCAGGCCACCAUCGAUGGGGAGGGAGCUGUGGCACAUGAAGACUUUGAGGGGAAUAAAGUGACUAUUGGAGCUGGUGAUUUGCAGUGGAUGACUGACAGAUAGACAUAAGAGGGAUGGGAAUCAUUGGGACGGCUACUCGUGUAUGGAUUGAUAGAUAAAAAUUGUUGAGCUUUGGAAACCCAAAACAUAUCGGAUGGGGCUUCUGGUGUGGAAGUGAUAAAAAAGUCAAGGGUCGAGUUCGGUAUCAGGUGAUACCUUAGCCGAGUAAAAGGGUUUUUGAAGACUAUUAGAUGCUUUCAAUGAUGACUGGGAGCCUCAGGUUAGUGGUCAAGACUAAUGUUCAUAUUAUUUAGGUCAAAGAAAAAUGUUAAUUGCAUAUUUUCUCAACAAGUUAUAUUUAUUUGUGAAUGUGUUCUUGCUGUUGUA
rnacentral:lncRNA from 1 species